rnacentral:rRNA from 1 species
UACGUAGGGGGCCAGCGUUGUCCGGAAUCAUUGGGCGUAAAGCGCGCGUAGGCGGUCAGGUAAGUCCGGUGUGAAAGUCAAAGGCUCAACCUUUGAAUGCCGCUGGAUACUGCUUGACUUGAGUCCGGAAGGGGCGAGUGGAAUUCCUGGUGUAGCGGUGGAAUGCGCAGAUAUCAGGAGGAACACCAAUAGCGAAGGCAGCUCGCUGGGACGAUACUGACGCUAAGGCGCGAAAGCGUGGGGAGCGAACAGG